AAACAAAAGUGAUUCCGUAAGUAGUGGCGAGCGAACGCGGAUUAGCCCAAACCAAGGAUGUUACGGCAUACUUGGGGUUGUAGGACCACGACAUUUCUUGCACAAAGAACUAGAAUCUACUGGAAAGUAGGACCAAAGAGGGUGAUAGUCCCGUAUAGGUAAUGAGUGUAAAGGAUAGUGGUAUCCUGAGUAGGGCGGGGCACGUGAAACCCUGUCUGAAUUUGGCGGGACCAUCCGCUAAGGCUAAAUACUCCUGAGAGACCGAUAGUGAACCAGUACCGUGAGGGAAAGGUGAAAAGAACCGUGAAUAACGGAGUGAAAUAGAUCCUGAAACCAUACGCUUACAAGCGGUCGGAGCCCUUUAGUGGGGUGACGGCGUGCCUUUUGCAUAAUGAGCCUACGAGUUAACGUUGCUGGCAAGGUUAAGUGGUUAAGUCACGGAUCCGUAGCGAAAGCGAGUCUGAAUAGGGCGCUUUAGUCAGUAGUGUUAGACGCGAAACCGUGUGAUCUACCCAUGGGCAGGUUGAAGCUUUGUUAACCCAAAGUGGAGGACCGAACCCGUUGACGUUGAAAAGUCUUGGGAUGACCUGUGGGUAGGGGUGAAAGGCCAAUCAAACUCGGAAAUAGCUCGUACUCCCCGAAAUGCAUUUAGGUGCAGCGUUGGUCAUAAAGUUAUAUAGAGGUAGAGCUACUGAUUGGAUGCGGGGGCUUCACCGCCUACCAAUUCCUGACAAACUCCGAAUGCUAUAAAAUGUUGUUGAGCAGUGAGGGCAUGGGUGCUAAGGUCCAUGUCCGAGAGGGAAAGAACCCAGAUCAUCAGCUAAGGUCCCCAAGUGUAUGCUAAGUUGACAAAACGCGGUAAAACUGCAUUGACAGCCAGGAUGUUGGCUUGGAAGCAGCCAUUCAUUUAAAGAGUGCGUAACAGCUCACUGGUCGAGCGGUUUUGCAUGGAUAAUAAUCGGGCAUAAGUAUACCACCGAAGCUAUGACUUUGUCUUAUGACAAGGGGUAGGGGAGCAUUCUAUGGGCAUUGAAGGUGCUGGCGUGAGCCGUGCUGGAGCGCAUAGAAACGAAAAUGUAGGCAUAAGUAACGAUAAUGCGGGCGAGAAACCCGCACGCCGAAAGACCAAGGUUUCCCCAGCUAUGCUAAUCAGCUGGGGGUCAGUCGGGACCUAACGCGAACCCGAACGGGGUAGUGGAUGGACAAUCAGUUAAUAUUCUGAUACCUGCUCACAUUAAAAGUGACGGGGAUGAGGCGUUGGUGCGAAGAGACGGAAUUCUUCGUUGAAGGUAGCGGAAGCUACUGAUAGUACACUGAGGCUUCGGCCAAGGUGAUAAUCCAGCUUAUCAUCCUCCAAGAAAAACAAGUGAAGCAGCCCGUACCGUAAACCGACACAGGUGGUUGGGAUGAGUAUUCUAAGGCGCUCGAGAGAUUCAUGGCUAAGGAACUAGGCAAAAUAGACCCGUAACUUCGGGAGAAGGGUCGCCCCCUUAUGGGGGGCCGCAGUGAAGAGGUCCAGGCGACUGUUUAUCAAAAACACAGGGCUCUGCAAAAUCGUAAGAUGAAGUAUAGGGCCUGACACCUGCCCGGUGCUGGAAGGUUAAGAGGAGAUGUUAUCUUCGGAGAAGCAUUGAAUUGAAGCCCCAGUAAACGGCGGCCGUAACUAUAACGGUCCUAAGGUAGCGAAAUUCCUUGUCGGGUAAGUUCCGACCUGCACGAAUGGUGCAACGAUCUGGACACUGUCUCGGCCAUGAGCUCGGUGAAAUUGUAGUAACGGUGAAGAUGCCGUUUACCCGCAGUGG
rnacentral:rRNA from 1 species